rnacentral:rRNA from 1 species
AUUGAACGCUGGCGGCAUGCCUUACACAUGCAAGUCGAACGGCAACAGGUCUUCGGAUGCUGACGAGUGGCGAACGGGUGAGUAAUGCAUCGGAACGUGCCCAGUUGUGGGGGAUAACUGCUCGAAAGAGCAGCUAAUACCGCAUACGACCUGAGGGUGAAAGCGGGGGAUCGCAAGACCUCGCGCAAUUGGAGCGGCCGAUGUCAGAUUAGGUAGUUGGUGGGGUAAAGGCCCACCAAGCCGACGAUCUGUAGUUGGUCUGAGAGGACGACCAGCCAGACUGGGACUGGGACACGGCGCAGACUCCUACGGGAGGCAGCAGUGGGGAAUUUUGGACAAUGGGCGCAAGCCUGAGCCAGCAAUGCCGCGUGCAGGAAGAAGGCCUUCGGGUUGUAAACUGCUUUUGUCAGGGAAGAAAUCCUCUGGGUUAAUACCCCGGGGGGAUGACGGUACCCAAGGAGGAAGUCACGGCUAACUACGUGCCAGCCGCCGCCGUAAUAC